AUUUGCCUUUAGGAGGGGGACUAAUACCCCAUAUGCUUUCGAGUGAAAUGGAUUUUUCCGCCUAGAGAGAAGCUUGCGGCUGAUUAGCUUGUUGGUGAGGUAAUGGCUUACCAAGGCGACGAUCAGUAUCUGGUUUGAGAGGACGAUCAGACACACUGGAACUGAGACACGGUCCAGACUCCUACGGGAGGCAGCAGUGGGGAAUUUUCCGCAAUGGGCGAAAGCCUGACGGAGCAAUCUCGCGUGAGGGAUGACUGCCUAUGGGUUGUAAACCUCUUUUUUCAGGGAGGAAUCAAUGACGUGUACCUGAAGAAUAAGCAUCGGCUAACUCCGUGCCAGCAGCCGCGGUAAGACGGAGGAUGCAAGUGUUAUCCGGAAUCACUGGGCGUAAAGCGUCUGUAGGUGGUUUAAUAAGUCAACUGUUAAAUCUUGAAGCUCAACUUCAAAAUCGGAGUCGAAACUAUUAGACUAGAGUAUAGUAGGGGUAAAGGGAAUUUCCAGUGGAGCGGUGAAAUGCGUAGAGAUUGGAAAGAACACCGAUGGCGAAGGCACUUUACUGGGCUAUUACUGACACUCAGAGACGAAAGCUAGGGUAGC
rnacentral:rRNA from 1 species